GGGUGAAUAAAAUUCGAGAUAUUUUAUGGGUACAAUUGAAUAGUUAUAAACAAAACCGGAAAACUAUGACAAAUUUAACUCCAAGUCCUACAAAUGAAAAUAAAGGUUUUGUACACACGCUGCCGAGACAAGACUCCAAAAAACUGAGCGCUGAAUUUGUUCGAAAUCCGAUAAGAAAAAGUAUAUUUUAUGUAACAGACGAAGACCGGUAAAAGAAAUGAGAAAAGAGUAAUAUAUAAAAAUAAUUUAUUAAUUUAUAGUACUUAAUGUUAUUAACCUUAAAUUAAGUUGCUGUGAUCUGAAUUUUUCCAAUUAAGGAUACUAAAAAAAUGGGAAAAGAUAUUUUUUUGUAAUUUCAUAAAUUUUAUGAAAUAAAA